rnacentral:tmRNA from 1 species
CUAACAAAUAGUGGGAUACGCUGUCUCAUCUCCGCCUGCGGUGAGCUGAAGAAGACAAUCAGGCUGACCCAACGUAUAGCCGGUUACGGGGCGAUACUCGGGUGACAUCAAAACUGUAACUACACUCGUAGAAGCUUAUGUGCCGUUAUCUUCGGACAGGGGUUCGACUCCCCUCGGCUCCAUAU